rnacentral:rRNA from 1 species
CCCUUAGACGUUCUGGGCCGCACGCGCGCUACACUGACGGAGCCAGCGAGUAUAAACCUUGGCCGAGAGGUCUGGGAAAUCUUGUGAAACUCCGUCGUGCUGGGGAUAGAGCAUUGUAAUUAUUGCUCUUCAACGAGGAAUUCCUAGUAAGCGCAAGUCAUCAGCUUGCGUUGAUUACGUCCCUGCCCUUUGUACACACCGCCCGUCGCUCCUACCGAUUGAGCGAUCCGGUGAAUGUUUUGGACUGGCGUCAGAAGCGGUUCGCUCCUGACACUACGAAAUUUUGUAAACCUUAUCGCUUAGAGGAAGGAAAAGUCGUAACA